CAGCCGCCACGGUAAUACGGAGGGAGCUAGCGUUGUUCGGAAUUACUGGGCGUAAAGCGCGCGUAGGCGGUUACUCAAGUCAGAGGUGAAAGCCCGGGGCUCAACCCCGGAACUGCCUUUGAAACUAGGUGACUAGAAUCUUGGAGAGGUCAGUGGAAUUCCGAGUGUAGAGGUGAAAUUCGUAGAUAUUCGGAAGAACACCAGUGGCGAAGGCGACUGACUGGACAAGUAUUGACGCUGAGGUGCGAAAGCGUGGGGAGCAAACAGGAUUAGAUACCCCGGUAGUCCCUGUCUCUUAUAC
rnacentral:rRNA from 1 species